UUAAAUAAGAGCUCUGAUAAAUUCGGAGGCGACACGAACUGUACAGCCGCAUGAAAAAAAAAAUGGAGGUCUGCAAAUUAGUAGCCAAAGCAGCAGAGGAGUGUCUUCACCUUUUUGACGCACCCGAAUGGAGCACGUAUUCCAAGAACCGGUUCAGGUAAAUUGCUAUUCCCCCCUUGAUGAAUUGAAUGGAACUAGAUACAGGUAUGAUUCUGAGCUUGCUAAUUGUUAGUCUGAAUAUCAUCUUCAUAAACCAUAAAAAGUGCAUCUGUAUAGAAUGGCUAAGAAUCCCAAAAAUAGGGUGGAAAUGAGAAUGGAACUUGGGACCUACUGCACCCUAAGUGAGAUCAUACAACUAAACCAAAUGGCCAGCUGCUGAUGUUAUUUGCUUUAAUAAUGCUUAAUUUCAUUUCGAAUUGGGUGAACAAGACCUUAAAGCCUUAUUCUUAUCGUCUUUGGAUUCAAUGAAAUGUAUCUAUGCAUGUUACUGAUACUGAAUGCUUGAUUUAUGAUCAUUGAUGCUGCUAUCGUUUGUCUACCUGGUGCCAAUAUCUAAUGUUCUUUUUGUUUCUCUCUCUCUCUCUCUUUUCUUUUUUAAAUUUGAUUGCAUGGGAUCUUGUUAGGAAACUAAAGUCUUAUACAUACAUAUAUAUAUAUAUAUAUAUAUAUAUAUAUGUAUAUAUAUAUGAUUGACCUGGGCUUUGAUUCCUCUGCUCAAAAGCAAUUUAAAUUGUAAUCAGUGCUACUAAUUUACUCUGUAAAUUCAUUGGCAUAGAUAAAGAUCUAGUAGAUCUAAGCUAUUAAAAAAGCAUGAAAUAUUUGUUCUCCUAUUAGACUUAGGCUAGGAUUGACUUGCUCAAAAAAAUCUUGUUAAUUGAAAUGGCAAAAUGGGGGCAUUUCGAGAAUCGAACUCGAGACCUUUCGCACCCAAAGCGAGAAUCAUACCACUAGACCAAAUGCCCAUUCAUACUAAUUAUGUGGACUGUUGCUAUUGCUAGUUUGGAGCAUUAUUUCUGUGGUUAGAUGUGAAAUUCACAUGCAAAUUCAACAUUUGAAUCUUAGUAUUUGAAAGUUUGGAGCAUGAUUUGUUGCUUUUUGCUUAUUUUUAGGACAUCUUUCCUAC